rnacentral:rRNA from 1 species
GGAUUAGAUACCCUGGUAGUCCACGCCGUAAACGAUGAUAACUAGUUGUUGGGUCAAAUGAUUCAGUAACCAAGCGAAAGUGAUAAGUUAUCCACCUGGGGAGUACGUUCGCAAGGAUGAAACUCAAAGGAAUUGACGGGGGCCCGCACAAGCGGUGGAGCAUGUGGUUUAAUUCGAUGAUACGCGAGGAACCUUACCAGGGCUUAAAUGUAUUUUGUUGGCUUUAGAGAUAAAGUUUCCCUUCGGGGCAAAUUACAAGGUGCUGCAUGGUUGUCGUCAGCUCGUGCCG